UAGGGAAUCUUCGGCAAUGGACGAAAGUCUGACCGAGCAACGCCGCGUGAGUGAAGAAGGUUUUCGGAUCGUAAAACUCUGUUGGUAGAGAAGAACGUUGGUGAGAGUGGUAAGCUCAUCAAGUGACGGUAACUACCCAGGAAGGGACGGCUAACUACGUGCCAG
rnacentral:rRNA from 1 species